rnacentral:rRNA from 1 species
GUAGUCUCGCACAGAUGCAUAUCAAUAAGCGGAGGAAAAGAAACUAACAAGGAUUCCCCUAGUAACGGCGAGUGAAGCGGGAAGAGCUCAAAUUUGAAAUCUUAAAGGGUUUCCCUUUACGAAUUGUAGUUUAAAGAAGUGUUUUCUGUUGAGGUUUUGGUAAAAGUUCUUUGGAAUAGGACAUCAUAGAGGGUGAGAAUCCCGUAUUUGACCUUUACUUUCAACUUUGUGAUACACUUUCAAAGAGUCGGAUUGUUUGGGAAUGCAGUCCAAAAUGGGUGGUAAAUUUCAUCUAAAGCUAAAUAUUGGCGAGAGACCGAUAGCGAACAAGUACCGUGAGGGAAAGAUGAAAAGAACUUUGAAAAGAGAGUUAAACAGUACGUGAAAUUGUCAAAAGGGAAGCGUUAGACACCAGUGUUGUUUUUCUGAAAAUCAAUUAAAGAACUGUUUAUGCUAAGCUGUUUAGACUUUAUCAGCUAACUGUUUAGUUUCGAGCUUUUCUUUAAUGCACUUUUCAGUUAACAAGUCAACAUCAAUUUCUUUUGCUGUAAAAAAGCUUGAGGAAGGUGGCUUGAGAUUCGUCUUAAGUGUUUAUAGCCUCUUGCCUAUGCAGUCGGAGAGAUUGAGGUCUGCAGCGUAGAUCCUUCGGGGCUAAAUGCAUUUGUGCUAAGUUAUAGCAUUUUAUAGACAACUUGUUGACUAUGAUUUGUCUUGUAGCUUACUCGCUUAUGUUAUUUUACCUACGCUUAGGAUGUUGACGCAUGAGAUAUACGC